rnacentral:rRNA from 1 species
CCUACGGGUGGCUGCAGUGGGGAAUAUUGGACAAUGGGCGCAAGCCUGAUCCAGCCAUGCCGCGUGAGUGAUGAAGGCCUUAGGGUUGUAAAGCUCUUUUGUCCGGGAAGAUAAUGACUGUACCGGAAGAAUAAGCCCCGGCUAACUUCGUGCCAGCAGCCGCGGUAAUACGAAGGGGGCUAGCGUUGCUCGGAAUCACUGGGCGUAAAGCGCACGUAGGCGGACUCUUAAGUCGGGGGUGAAAGCCCAGGGCUCAACCCUGGAAUUGCCUUCGAUACUGGGAGUCUUGAGUAUGGCAGAGGUUGGUGGAACUGCGAGUGUAGAGGUGAAAUUCGUAGAUAUUCGCAAGAACACCAGUGGCGAAGGCGGCCAACUGGGCCAUUACUGACGCUGAGGUGCGAAAGCGUGGGGAGCAAACAGGAUUAGAUACCCCAGUAGUC